rnacentral:tRNA from 1 species
GGAAGAAUGGCCCAGUGGUUAGGGCACUAGGCUAUGGGAGACCUGGGUUCAAUUUCCUGUUCUGCCA